UUAUUGCAGUGCUGAAAUUCUUAUUGGAGGUGAGAAGGGACCACCUGACAAGGUGUUCAUUAUUGGACCAGUUAAGCAGGUGAGGAAGGCAGAAGCCAUAUUAAGGGGUAGGAUGUAAGAAAACAUUCAUCAAGCCUUUUAUUUAAUAAUUUUUGACAGAAUUAUGAACAUGAAUCUGCAUAGUUCUUAUAUACCAACUCAAUACAAUCACCAAAAGAUGUCUUGGUGUAGUAUUGUUGAUACACAAAUUGCACUUGCUCCUAUUUAACAUGAUUGUUAUAAGCCAGCCAUGAUUGGAAAA